CGGCGGAGCAUGUGGUUUAAUUCGAAGCAACGCGAAGAACCUUACCAGGCCUGACAUGCAGAGAACUUUCCAGAGAUGGAUUGGUGGCCUUCGGGAACUCUGACACAGGUGCUGCAUGGCUGUCGUCAGCUCGUGUCGCGAGAUGUUGGGUUAAGUCCCGUAACGAGCGCAACCCUUGUCCUUAGUUACCAGCACGUUAUGGUGGGCACUCUAAGGAGACUGCCGGUGACAAACCGGAGGAAGGUGGGGAUGACGUCAAGUCAUCAUGGCCCUUACGGCCUGGGCUACACACGUGCUACAAUGGUCGGUACAAAGGGUUGCCAAGCCGCGAGGUGGAGCUAAUCCCAUAAAACCGAUCGUAGUCCGGAUCGCAGUCUGCAACUCGACUGCGUGAAGUCGGAAUCGCUAGUAAUCGUGAAUCAGAAUGUCACGGUGAAUACGUUCCCGGGCCUU
rnacentral:rRNA from 1 species